GUGCCAGCAGCCGCGGUAAUACAGAGGGUGCGAGCGUUAAUCGGAAUUACUGGGCGUAAAGCGAGCGUAGGUGGCUUAAUAAGUCAGAUGUGAAAUCCCCGGGCUUGACCUGGGAACUGCAUCUGAAACUGUUCGGCUAGAGUAGGUGAGAGGGAAGUAGAAUUCCAGGUGUAGCGGUGAAAUGCGUAGAGAUCUGGAGGAAUACCGAUGGCGAAGGCAGCUUCCUGGCAUCAUACUGACACUGAGGUUCGAAAGCGUGGGUAGCAAACAGGAUUAGAAACCCUUGUAGUCC
rnacentral:rRNA from 1 species